rnacentral:lncRNA from 14 species
AGUGAACCUCAUCCGCACUCUGCCUUCCCAGUUGACUUCUGCACACUGAACUUCAGCAGACAGAUCCCUCCUGUGGCCAUGACUGUAGCUAUUGGACACAGGAAAGCAUCAUUUUACCGUCUGGCGGUGGUUUCUACUUUCUGUAUAACGGUAUGAAUGCUGGUGCCAGGACUGCUGUACCCCAGGUUCCCUAGCUCUGAAAUUCACUCCCAUUGGAAACCUGCCCUGGCUUCUGUGGGAUGGGGUUCCUGACAGUAGGGGAGAAAGCAGAGCAGAUCCAAGGAAGGGCCCAAAUGACACAUUCCUGGAAACAUAUAAAGAAGACAAAGCAGGAG